UACAGAGGCAGUCUCCCGGGCAUCAGCGGCGGCAUGACAAUUAGCAGCUUCCCCCUGCAGUUUGGUCAGCAGGAAUGACACAGAAUUUUGCCUAGUGGCGCUUCUCUCAGCCCUGCGGGGCGCCCGCUGCUCUCUGGAUUCUACGGCAUUCCUUAGGCGGUGUGACACAGUAGGGAAAGAGACCGGUUCACUGUGAGACCUGCUACUCACUCUCUUACAGUGCAUCGGCCCCCCUUCCCACUGCACAGCGGCUGCCGCCUGGGCCCUGCGUGGCAGGCCUGUGGCUAUCGGGACAGUGAGCCACGGAGUCAGACUUCCAUCAGUGCGCGCCGUAUAGUCGGGAGCCUUCUUCUAAGGACAGCGCUGGAUUUUAGGGCUCUUUCUCCCAUGGUGGGAGAUAUCUCCUGUCCACACUCUGGAAGCUGAGGACCCUCCAUGACCUGCUUUGAUCAACGUAGAGAGGCAGAAGUGAUUGAUGGCUGGCAUUCCCAAACCAGGACUGUAAGGGCACAUGCAGUCCUGAUGCUGGAACUUAGUCUCCAGGGAAACACCUGAUCUAUCCUGCUGGGUCAGGAAGCCAGACGCUCCUCCUCCUUGAGUGGCAACCCUCCAUCUUCAGAUGCUGGAGGGGUAGCCUGGUCAGGUCAGGUACACCAGCCAGUGCCAUAUGGAAGAAAAAUGAACUUCCUGGGAGAAGUCUUGGCCACUGGAUUACUGUGUCAUGAGCAGCGAAAGAACACUUGAUGCCCAGCUGAGGCUUCAGAGAGUGAUUUACACCAAGCCCGUGUCAAAGCAUGCAGCACAUGCAAUACAAAUGGGUCCUGUAUCAAGAUAUUGCUAAUGUAUAUUCUGCAAACUUACUUUUGGUAGUGGGGAUUGAACUUAGUCCUUCAUGCAUGCUGGCCCUGAGAAUGUGCCUUCUCGUUUUCACCUCAGCAGAAAUAAAGUCAGGCCCAGAGAGACCAGGCAACGUACUCAGCAAAAUAAACAACGACAGCAGCACCGACAAACAAAAACAACAAGGAAGCGAACCAGGAGAGGCCACUGCACAGUGACUCUCCAAAGCCGGCUCACUCCCCGAUGCCGCCAGCAUAACUGAUUCGGCAAAGGACAGGCAAGGAGCACACAGUACAACCCAGAACCACCACAGUGACAGUGACAACUGGAAGGCAACGGCCAGUGCGUGAGGAUCCAGACAGGGAAAAGGGAAGCGGCGGAAGCUGUGGUCCUUUCUAGGAAGAGUCACAGAAGUAUUGGCAAGAGAGGAGGAAGAAGAAACAGCACAGGAGGGAACUGAUCCAUGCACCAGCCAACUGCUUUCUUCACUUUCCCGUAACCCAGCAGUCCUAUAGGGUAUAGAGAACUGAGGGUGUUUCUCUACAAGAUGAACUCAGAAGUGUGCUGCAGGAACUUGAGAAAAAUGCCUAGCAGGAGGACUCCCUGGACCAGUGUGGUGCUCCAGGGAGAAAGCCUUCUUUCUUUCUUUCUUUCUUUCUUUCUUUCUUUCUUUCUUUCUUUCUUUCUUUCUUUCUUUCUCUCUCUCUCUCUCUCUCUCUCUCUCUCUCUCUCUCUCUCUCUCUCUCUCUCUCCUUCCUUCCUUCCUUCCUUCCUUCCUUCCUUGCUUGGUGUUAGGUACCCGUAGCAAAGUAAGCUCUCCUGCAGCCCCAUAUGGCAAGGCUCUGAGCCUGUGCAUCGUGCCAAGUGAGACACAGGACUUUCAGGAGCAUGCCUUAUUGAGAGACAGAAAACCGCCUCUACAUUCUUGCUCCUCUAUAGGCAGAACAAGCUAGGAUUGGCAGUCUCGUCAGAGAAGUUAGCAAGAAGUGAGCAGGAGGGUGAGGUUGGUUGGGGUAAAUCUAAAAGCUGACUCGAGGGAGCAGAAUAUUCUGGGCAGGGAGCACAUGGAAGACUCAUAAAACAAAAGACCGACAUGAAAUAGAAGUAAACAAAUUAACUCAGAAACUUUAUUCACUGCAUAUUAACGAAUACACCUCCCAGAACUAAGGAGGUUGUGCUGCUACAGGAAAUGAUUCAGAAAUACAGUCACAGAAAACACGCCAAUGAAGUGGAGUGAUUUCUACUUAGGCUACACCCAGCCAGGCCUGAAACACUGGGGCUCAGGAUCUCCCCAAAGUCCUGAAUGCUAGGAUCAUAAGCAUGGCCACCACACCUAGGCAACAUUUUUUUUUUUUUUGGAAGUUCUUAAUGUCCCAGGUACCUGCUUUCUUACUGUUACCAUUUAAUUUUAGCUACAUCUUAUUGUAUGAAUUUUUUUUCCUUGAAAACCAAGUUACUUCUAGAUUCAAAACUUGUACUCUAUUGUUCUCCAAAACCAACAACUUGGAAAAAGCUAAAAAAUUGCUUCAGUGUAAAACCAUUUCUAUCAUCCUUCUGAGUGUUCUGAUGCUCAGUUUUCUUUUCACCCCAGUAGUGUGGAGGUGGAGACAGGGUCAUCCCUGGGGCUGCCUGGACAGUGAGUCCAGACCAAUCAGGUGAGCCCCUGGGGUUAAUAAAAGACCUCGAUUCAGAAGCAAGGUGGAUGACCACUGCUGUUGACCUGUGUCCUCAUCAGACACACACAGACACACAGACACACACACACACACUCACCUUCACAAACACGGGCCCCUUCAUGAACAAUGAAAAACACCAACACACAAGGACACAUACGUGUACAUACACUAACUCUCUCACACACAUGAAGGAAUCCUUUUUAUUAUGACCUUGGUUUUAGCCACUACCUCCGAGACAUUUAAAACUCUACCUCUAACUCUGCUUAGACUACAACCCCAAAAGCUCAGGUGUCCUUUGUGAUAAACUCUACAAUCUCAGCUUGAAAUGUGAUUAGCACCCUGGUUCAAAGCAAGAGAUGGCCCCAAAUAAUUGCCUGCAAGAGUUCUAAUGAUUCCUAAGACAGAGGUGGCUGGGCCUGGAAAGAGCAGGAAGAGUAAGUUGCCGGCUUGGCUUGAUGCUCACCCAGGGAAGGUGGCAGAACUGAGGGAAAGCCACGUGGCUGCCAGAGAAGAGAACAAAAGGAACUUGCUAGGACACCCGGACCAGGUGGCUGUAGGCUUUCAAGUCAAGCCACAGAAAGCUCCUCUAUGUCCGACGAAUCCCACCAAUCCAGAAAAAAUUCCACUGAAUACCAGCAAUUAGUCUGAGUGACAGCUGCAGCAGAAUGCAAGGGAAAGAACAGCCUGGCUGGGCCUGAGCUUACUCAGUCUGCUGGAAGUGACUGUGGCAGAAGUGGGGUGUGUGUGGGGAGGGUAGGCUUCGUGGGACACAGCAUGCACAGUGAGCACAGGGGGGAAAUGCUUGAUGUCAGAAAUAAGCGAAGGUGCCCUUGGUUCAAAGCAGGGGCAGAGAAAGAGACUGCAUGUAAAACACACAUUCCUUUAAAACACGAUAGCUGAGAAGGUUUUCUGCUGUCUACAUCAACAUAUCUGCCAUUAUUUCAAUAAUAGGUAAUUAUUAAAUAAUUGCACAAGGUGGGACAUUUUAUUGUUAUUGCAGGUAAGAAAAAAAAAAAACAGUUUAAAUAACUGACUACAAGUUGGGCGUGGUAACGCACGCCUGUGAUGCUAGCACUGAAGGAGGUGGAUUUCUGUGAGUUUGAGACCAUCCUGACCUACAAAGCAAGUCCAGGGCAGCCAAGGCCACACAGAGAAACCCUGUCUCAAAGACAAAACAACCACAAAGACUGACUAUGGCAGUGAGAUAGUGCAGCAGGUAAAGCUCUUGCCGCCAAGGCUGAUGAGCUGAGUUCACCCUCAGGGAUCCCCACAGAAGAAAGACGGAACGGACUCCCACAGGUUGUCCGUCCUCCCACCUCCAUAGGCACAGUGUGGUAUGUUUGUGUCCCUAAGUGUGAUAAAAUAAAACAUAGCUGAACAUGUCCCCUCCCCACCAGGAGUUCACAAAUGCCUUGGUGACAAGGUGACAAGGCAAGACACCUAAGAAAUAAAAUAGCCAUAAGCUCCUGACACACAGCAUGUCUGCCUCCUGUGUGAUAGCGUGGACAGGGGGUGGGGAGAGAAAUGGAGGUUGGAGAGGGGAGGGCUUUUCUUUUCCUACUGUGUGCAGAUGUCGACAAAGCUUGUGGCUUGUGAUAGGCGAGGAUUAGCUCAGCCCUUGAAGGAGGUCUUGACAGACAGUGCGGCAAUAUUUCAGGGUAUAUUUGAGGACGACGUAGAGGCACUUUGGAUAAACAGGAGCUGGAAAUUCUGAUAAAAAUUCUAGGAUUGUUGAAGCCCAGGAAGAGCAGAUGAAAGAGACAGUACUGAGACGUUCUUGAGAGGGAGGUCCCCCACAAUUGCUGUGCCCAUAGCAGUCACAGAUUUGCACAAGAUGAAGAGAAGGUAGUAUGACAACAAGGCAUUCAGGGGCAUCAACUAGAUUGAGGGGCCUGCCUGUUGGCAUUUCUAAAUUGCAGUGAAACUUCUGAUAAAACUACCCCAAAGGGGAAAGAGGUUUGGGUCCAGGACAGCUGAAGGAAGAUCAUGAUGAAGAGUAUGGACUUGCUAGGCAGGCAAGACAGUGCUGGGAAAGAAAAAUGCUUUGUGACGACUCACUCAUGCAGGUACCAUCCUGUAUGCACAUUGUACCUAGCACUCGUUCUAGGGAAGACAAAUGUAAUAAAUUAAUAUAUAAAGUAAUUAAUUGUAAAGUUUUUUUUUUCUCACAAUGUGAUUUAAAAUGAGUGAGCAAGAGAACUUGCCAAGGGCACAGGAAACAAGAUGCUUAAGUCUCAAACGCAGAACAAACAGCUAACUGCAGUGGCUGUUUAACACAUCAAAACAGACCUACUGCCAUGUUCUCCCAGCAUCCCUCAGUCACUAGCUGUUACCAUGCUCCCUACCCUAAACUUCCUAAAUUUUUGAAUAUCUAGCCUUUUCAUCUACUCUUUACUCUGUUUGCUCUCCUCUGUUAGUUUUCAAUGCGUGUGUGUGUGUGUGUGUGUACUUACGUGUGGGCCCACAGAAGUCAGAGAUGUGAGAUCUCAUGAAGGUGGAUUUACGGUGUCUGUGAACAACCUGACCUGAGCACUGGGCACCAAACUUGGAUGCUCUUCGAGAGCAGUAUGUGUUCUGAACCACUGAGCCGUCUCUCCCUC